GCCUCGCUAGUACAACUAGUACAGUUGACCUCCAAUCAUCAAAUCUUGGUAACCUCCAAGGAGAGGCA
rnacentral:tRNA from 1 species